rnacentral:hammerhead_ribozyme from 1 species
GUCCGGAUGACGAGUCCCAAAUAGAACGAAAUGAGUAUCCUAGAU